rnacentral:lncRNA from 1 species
UAUAUAAAAUAGUUGGUUCUUAGCUCAUUCUCUCUCUCUCUCUCUCUCUCUCUCUCUCUCUCUCUCUCUCACAUCUUCAGUAACUCCUUGAUAUUGUCGACACUCAACAAUGCUACUAUGGAUGUUAUUUGUUGUGGUACUCUCUUCUAAUAACGACCAACAUCGAUGAGCAAAAUCGUCGUCAAAUAUCCAAGUAGUUGUGAAUACCAGAGUCAAGCACACCUUCAUUGAACAACCAAAGAUAAGCG